AACGAACGCUGGCGGCAGGCUUAACACAUGCAAGUCGAGCGCCCCGCCAGGGGAGCGGCAGACGGGUGAGUAACGCGUGGGAACGUACCUUUUGGUCCGGAACAACUCCGGGAAACUGGAGCUAAUACCGGAAAAGCCCUAACGGGGAAAGAUUUAUCGCCGAAAGAUCGGCCCGCGUCUGAUUAGCUAGUUGGUGAGGUAACGGCUCACCAAGGCGACGAUCAGUAGCUGGUCUGAGAGGAUGAUCAGCCACACUGGGACUGAGACACGGCCCAGACUCCUACGGGAGGCAGCAGUGGGGAAUAUUGGACAAUGGGCGCAAGCCUGAUCCAGCCAUGCCGCGUGAGUGAUGAAGGCCUUAGGGUUGUAAAGCUCUUUUGUCCGGGAAGAUAAUGACUGUACCGGAAGAAUAAGCCCCGGCUAACUUCGUG
rnacentral:rRNA from 1 species